AUUGAACGCUGGCGGCAUGCUUUACACAUGCAAGUCGAACGGUAACAGGUUAAGCUGACGAGUGGCGAACGGGUGAGUAAUGCAUCGGAACGUGCCCGGUCGUGGGGGAUAACGCAGCGAAAGCUGCGCUAAUACCGCAUACGAUCUGAGGAUGAAAGCGGGGGACCGUAAGGCCUCGCGCGAUCGGAGCGGCCGAUGUCAGAUUAGGUGGUUGGUGGGGUAAAGGCUCACCAGGCCAACGAUCUGUAGCUGGUCUGAGAGGACGACCAGCCACACUGGGACUGAGACACGGCCCAGACUCCUACGGGAGGCAGCAGUGGGGAAUUUUGGACAAUGGGCGAAAGCCUGAUCCAGCAAUGCCGCGUGCAGGAAGAAGGCCUUCGGGUUGUAAACUGCUUUUGUACGGAGCGAAAAGGUCUCCUCUAAUACAGGGGGCUCAUGACGGUACCGUAAGAAUAAGCACCGGCUAACUACGUGCCAGCCGCCGCAGUAA
rnacentral:rRNA from 1 species